GACGAACGCUGGCGGCGCGCUUAACACAUGCAAGUCGAGCGAGAACCUGGGCUUCGGCCCUGGGGACAGCGGCGAACGGGUGAGUAACACGUGGGUAAUCUGCCCUUGACAUCGGGAUAGCCCGGGGAAACCCGGAUUAAUACCGAAUAGCCUCCGGAGCCUUCGGGCGCCGGAGAAAAGGUAGCUUCGGCCUCUGGUCGAGGAUGAGCCCGCGGCGGAUUAGCUUGUUGGCGGGGUAACGGCCCACCAAGGCGACGAUCCGUAGCUGGUCUGAGAGGACGAUCAGCCACACUGGGACUGAGACACGGCCCAGACUCCUACGGGAGGCAGCAGUGGGGAAUCUUGCGCUAAUGCGGGAAACCGUGACGCAGCGACGCCGCGUGGGGGAAGAAGGCCUUCGGGUUGUAAACCUCUUUCAGGAGGGACGAAGCUACUCGGGUUAAUAGCCCAGAGGGUGACGGUACCUCCAGAAGAAGCCCCGGCUAACUACGUGCCAGCAGCCGCGGUAAUACGUAGGGGGCAAGCGUUGUCCGGAUUUAUUGGGCGUAAAGAGCGUGUAGGCGGCCUGACAGGUCUGCUGUGAAAACUCGAGGCUCAACCUCGAGAUGUCGGCGGAAACCGUCUGGCUAGAGUCCGGAAGAGGAGAGUGGAAUUCCUGGUGUAGCGGUGAAAUGCGCAGAUAUCAGGAAGAACACCUAUGGCGAAGGCAGCUCUCUGGGACGGUACUGACGCUGAGACGCGAAAGCGUGGGGAGCGAACAGGAUUAGAUACCCUGGUAGUCCACGCCGUAAACGAUGGGGGCUAGGUGUGGGCGGUGUCGACUCCGUCCGUGCCGAAGCUAACGCAUUAAGCACCCCGCCUGGGGAGUACGGCCGCAAGGCUA
rnacentral:rRNA from 1 species